UACGUAGGGUGCGAGCGUUAAUCGGAAUUACUGGGCGUAAAGCGUGCGCAGGCGGUUUUUUAAGACAGGCGUGAAAUCCCCGGGCUCAACCUGGGAAUGGCGCUUGUGACUGGAAGGCUAGAGUACGGCAGAGGGGGGUAGAAUUCCACGUGUAGCAGUGAAAUGCGUAGAGAUGUGGAGGAAUACCGAUGGCGAAGGCAGCCCCCUGGGCCGAUACUGACGCUCAUGCACGAAAGCGUGGGGAGCAAACAGGAUUAGAUACCCGCGUAGUCC
rnacentral:rRNA from 1 species